rnacentral:rRNA from 1 species
UACGAAGGGGGCUAGCGUUGCUCGGAAUUACUGGGCGUAAAGCGCACGUAGGCGGCUUUCUAAGUCGGGGGUGAAAUCCUGGAGCUCAACUCCAGAACUGCCUUCGAUACUGGAAAGCUCGAGUCCGGGAGAGGUGAGUGGAACUGCGAGUGUAGAGGUGAAAUUCGUAGAUAUUCGCAAGAACACCAGUGGCGAAGGCGGCUCACUGGCCCGAUACUGACGCUGAGGAGCGAAAGCGUGGGGAGCGAACAGG